GUCUACGGCCAUACCACCCUGAACAUGCCCGAUCUCGUCUGAUCUCGGAAGCUAAGCAGGGUCUGGCCUGGUUAGUACUUGGAUGGGAGAAAAUUAGUGACCUAGCUU
ensembl:rRNA 5S_rRNA 5S ribosomal RNA